AGAAGGCUCAUUAUGAGGGUCCUAUCUCCACACCAAAGGAGAAUGUCCUGGCAUAGAGGAUCUGUUAGAUGGAGUGUCUAAUAAAACAGGCCUCCAGGUGGCCCCUAGACCCCAGGCUUUCAAUAGUCAUAAAACACAUUCUGCUGACAUCAAGGGUUCAAGAGCAGUGCACAUCUGGCCUACAUCUGUGCAUCCUGACAACAGAACCAACUUCCGAAAGGCCUGACCAGAUGUCUACGAGGCCCCCACAGCUUAGCAAGAAGCUCAUGAUUCUGAUUCUAGACUAAAGAUCUCUGGUAUGUUCCAGAAAUGUAAGACUUCUGUGACCUUCUUUUAUCUUAAGAAGCAAGCUUUGAUAUUUUUACUACAUAAUAAACACAAAAAGGUCUUUUAAUUUUAGACAGAUGCAAGAUAGUAUGUCCCAUGGCCUCUGUUGCUUUGUUUAGUAACAAAAUUCAAACCAGGGAUACCAAAGGAAUUUUCCAGAGUCUAAAAAGCACUUACUGGCAAGUCACAGACUGUCACGUAAAUCAUUCCUCCCCCAAAUAGCUUUAGUUUUGUUUGCACCAGAUACUAUAAGUAUGACCUUCUUCAUGAAAAGCUCGUCCUAAGAUCUUUAAAGAUACUCUAUGGUCUCACAGACUUCAGAAAAGAUCACUUCACAGCCAUACUUUAGGAGACAGCCAGUGGAUACAAUGUAAGGUACUGGCUCUAUCUGGGAAUCUGUGUCUCUUUACUCAUCUGUCAAAUGCUUAUCAGCUCUGAAUUGUGCCCCAGAAAGGAUCAUUUCUAUUAUUUUUCCCAAUUUUACCUACCUAUCACAGUUUACAAAUAAGUCAAAGCAUGUUUCUCCACUUUUCAUUGAAGAAAAAUUUAUAUGAUCAAUAGCCAGAGCUGCUGAACCCAAGAGCAGAAGAGCCUGAAUACUGACAGCAAAGACCCCUUGUUGCUAUCUGGCUUGUGGGUCAUUACCAUCCAAAGGUAGAGAGGUAUAGCUUUCAUUGGGUUUUUGAAAAGACAUUGGUCUGCAGGGCUCUUGUUCCAUAGACCCUUCCUAAGUUCCCUUUAGAUAUUAAGACCCUGAGGCUCAACUGCCUAUCUUUUCCUGAACCAGUCUUUGCCCUCUCUAAGCUUAAAGGAAUAUAAAAUUAAGAUGCAGGACUUGGGCAUUUCUUCAAAGCUCUGUGAGUGGCCUCGCAAAUCCAGCUGCUGGCAGAUGGUAGGAUGACAGUGAUACAUAUUCACAGCAACUGUAGAUGCCUUCCCAAGGCAGCUCCAGAUGUCACAGACACACUGCUUAUGCUCCAAUGGCUGGCCCACCUGUCUGAACAUCAUGCUCAUUUUUCAACACGAAGGAGCCAAGGGCUACCCAUCUUUCUAAUACUGUCAGAGGGACUCCAAAGAGAAGGAGUGCUACGUGACCCUAGGCUCAUCCCUCAACUAAAGCCAAGCCCCCAAAGGCCAAAUGCCUGUCCAUUUUGGUCUCAGGGUGAUUAUUCUCAUUCAACUGGGAGGGCCAAGCAUAAAGGCACUGAAGGAGACUACAGUGAGCUUUCUAGAACCUAAAAUAUGCUUGGAGAGUUCAAAAAAAAAACCACGUAGCUCUAAGCACCUCUUUAUAUACAUGAGAAAAAUGAAACCAGUUAGGAAUAUAGCUCCAUGGCCCUAGGUUCAAUUCUCAGAAUGAGAAAAGAGAGGAGUGAGGGAGGGAGGGGAGAGAGGGGAUGAGAAGGCAGAAAAAGGCUGUAACUAAGUCUUCCGAGCUUAUCUGACCAUAAUGCUCCACCAAAUAAAUGAGAAUUUUCUUUUCAAACCCACUCAGAGUUAAGGCCAGAUUACCAUUUGAUUCAUCAGAUCAGAUAAAGGCUUCUUUAAACAAGCUGCUCUGUAUUGGAUGUUGGACCUCCUCAACUGCCUAUGUAUCCUCCAAAUGCCUACUGGCCAACAAGGACCAUUCUGAGCUAUGGGAGAUAGGUGCUGACUCUAUGUCCCCAGUCAAAAACGGAAACAAUAAAAUCUGGAUGCUUCUGACAACAUUGGGCUCAUGACCUGAUUACAGCUUAAGACAAGAAUCAUGAGGUGUCCUGAAAGCCUCAGUCUGUCAUGAGGUUUUAUCCAUCAGGAAAUGCUAAACUGUCAAAAAAAAAAAAAAAAAAAAAAAAAAA